GGUUCUGUGGCACAGUGGUAAGUGCACCGGACCAGGUGAUGACAUCACUCAAUGUUCACCGGUAGAUUGUGUGUUCGAAUCCACCAGAGCCG